GUGCAUGUGUGCGUGCAUGUGGGUGUGUGUGUGUGUGUGUGUGUGCACUGUGAAGUAGUUUGUGUGACAUUUUUCCAUGAAAAGUAUUUUAUAAAUAAAGUCUGAUUUGUCAGUGGUGGAGAGUAACAGAGUAAAAGUAGUAAAGUACUAUACUGAAGUACACAUUUUAUGUAUCUGUACUUUAUUUAAGGACAUAUUCAGAUCUGUGGAGAGGCGUCCCCUGUUCACAGCAAGUAAACAACACAAACACAUGUAACUGAAUAAAUGCAAGAUGGAUAAGUUUAAUGCCACACUGUGGAACAUUCCAGGCGAAGAUACAGCUGAUCAGAAAAGUUACACAGUGUACCUUUAAGUCUAGGGCUGCAUUUACAGCUUGGUUUAGUUCUUCUGCUUUAGUCCUGGUUUAGUCCUUCUUUAGUCCUGCUUUAGUCCAGGUUUAGUCCUGGUUCAGUCCUGGUUCAGUCCAGGUUUAGUCCUUCUUUAGUCCUGCUUUAGUCCUGCUUUAGUCCUGGUUUAGUCCAGGUUCAGUCCUGCUUUAGUCCUUCUUUAGUCCUGCUUUAGUCCUGCUUUAGUCCUUCUUUAGUCCUGCUUUAGUCCUGGUUCAGUCCUUCUUUAGUCCUGCUUUAGUCCAGGUUUAGUCCUGGUUCAGUCCUGGUUCAGUCCUGGUUCAGUCCUGGUUCAGUCCUGGUUCAGUCCAGGUUUAGUCCUUCUUUAGUCCUGCUUUAGUCCUGGUUUAGUCCAGGUUCAGUCCUGCUUUAGUCCCAGUUGUGUGAACCUGAUCCUCGGCCUGAGUCUCAGGUAAAUCCAGGUCAGUGUUUGGCUCUUGUGCCAUAUCAGGUCUGUGUAACAGACGCUGUUAAAGGUAAAGUUUAAAUUAUAAACGUGUGGUUUGUGGGGACGUGUUCACUCAGACGUCGUCUUAAACUAAACACUUUAAAACACUCUGUACUUUUAUUCAAAUGCGUUGCCAAAGGAGCAGACCACAGUGAGCAGAGGCUGAAUCUGUUUACUCAAACUCUGAUGUCACUGAAAAGAAGCGGGAAAAUGCAGCGGGGCUUAGAGAAGAGGAACUACUGCCCCCUACAGGCCGUGUGUGGUCACUGCAGCCUCCUCAGGGCCACAGUCCAAACACAGACGGCUCUGUUAUGUCACAGACGAGGCUACUUC
ensembl:lncRNA